ensembl:processed_transcript Tmem134 transmembrane protein 134
GUUUGGUGGGCGGGGCCGUGGCGGGCUCAAAUGGCGGCGGCGCUGGGCGCCUAGGCCGGCGGGGGCCAUGAGCGCCGCCCGGCCCCAGUUUAGCAUCGAUGAUGCCUUCGAGCUGACCCUGGAGGACGCGGGGCCUGAGCCCGAGUCCAGCGGGGUCGCCCGCUUCGGGCCGCUGCACUUCGAACGCCGGGCUCGGUUCGAGGUGGCUGAUGAAGACAAGCAGUCCCGGCUACGCUACCAGAACCUGGAAAAUGAUGAGGACGGAGCCCAGGCCUCUCCGGAGCCGGAUGGGGGAGUCAGCACCAGGGAUUCUGGGCACAUGUCUGUCCGCAGCUCGCAGUGGUCCUUCAGCACCAUCAGCAGCAGCACACAGCGCUCCUACAACGCCUGCUGCAGCUGGACCCAACAUCCUUUGAUCCAGAAAAACCGCCGGGUAGUGCUGGCCUCCUUCCUGCUUCUGCUGUUGGGGCUAGUGCUUAUCCUGGUCGGCGUGGGACUGGAGGUGGCCCCCUCUCCAGGUGUCUCCAGUGCCAUCUUCUUUGUGCCGGGCAUCCUGCUGUUAGUCCCAGGAGUCUACCAUGUGAUCUUCAUCUACUGCGCUGUCAAGGGCCGCCGGGGCUUCCAAUUCUUCUACCUGCCCUACUUUGAGAAGUGAGCUGCAACUGGCCAGUGGCUCACCAGUGAUCCAAGGCCUCAGGUCACCUCCACGUGUCCACAGGGUAUUCCUCCAACCUACACCUGGUUCUGUUCCUUUCACCUGGAAGGCAGAGGCCCCUGGGACCCUCACAACCACCAGGCCCCUUUGAAUUUGCUCAGGAAGUUUAGAGCAUGCCAGCCUGGGAAUAUUGCCUCUUACCUGAUGUGUGCCUUAACUUAUUCCUGGGUUCUGGACUCCUGGGUUGGUGUAAUUUUGUGCUAAUAAAAGGGUAAUUAUUUCC